UGGAUGACCUGCCCUACAGCGGGGAAUAACCCGGGGAAACUCGGGCUAAUACCGCAUACGACCGAGAGGUGAAAGGGGGCUCGCAAGAGCUCUCGCUGAAGGAGGGGUCCGCGUUCGAUUAGCUAGUUGGUAGGGUAAUGGCCUACCAAGGCGACGAUCGAUAGCCGGCCUGAGAGGGUGAUCGGCCACACUGGGACUGAGAUACGGCCCAGACUCCUACGGGAGGCAG
rnacentral:rRNA from 1 species